CUUUUUAUUCUUCUCUCAGAAUAAAAUCCAAGGAAAUUGCACCUUGGUUCCUCGUCUCACCAGUUCAUGAUCUUUCAGACAAUUUCAGUAUCAUAAACGAUCGAUGCGAUGUAGAAGCAAUGCAGAUCAUAAUUAUAUGUUUAUUGAGUCCACUCCUGGUGCAAUGUUCCAGCAAGACAUUGUCCUAAAGCUUGAAUGGAUCCUUAUCCUUUAAGCCUUUGUAAACUAUAGCGAAAAAGAACAAGAAACAACGAAAAUGGCCUG
rnacentral:lncRNA from 1 species